rnacentral:rRNA from 1 species
GAUGAACGCUGGCGGCGUGCCUAAUACAUGCAAGUCGAGCGAACGGACGAGAAGCUUGCUUCUCUGAUGUUAGCGGCGGACGGGUGAGUAACACGUGGAUAACCUACCUAUAAGACUGGGAUAACUUCGGGAAACCGGAGCUAAUACCGGAUGAUAUUUUGAACCGCAUGGUUCAAAAGUGAAAGACGGUCUUGCUGUCACUUAUAGAUGGAUCCGCGCUGCAUUAGCUAGUUGGUAAGGUAACGGCUUACCAAGGCAACGAUGCAUAGCCGACCUGAGAGGGUGAUCGGCCACACUGGAACUGAGACACGGUCCAGACUCCUACGGGAGGCAGCAGUAGGGAGUCUUCCGCAAUGGGCGAAAGCCUGACGGAGCAACGCCGCGUGAGUGAUGAAGGUCUUCGGAGCGUAAAACUCUGUUAUUAGGGAAGAACAUAUGUGUAAGUAACUGUGCACAUCUUGACGGUACCUAAUCAGAAAGCCACGGCUAACUACGUG